rnacentral:rRNA from 1 species
GAGUUUGAUCCUGGCUCAGAGCGAACGCUGGCGGCGUGCUUAACACAUGCAAGUCGAGGGAGAACGGAGGGCUUCGGCUCUCUUAGUAAACCGGCGCACGGGUGAGUAACACGUAGGUAACCUACCUCCGAGUUCGGGAUAACCUGUCGAAAGAUAGGCUAAUACCGGAUAAGACCACGAUGGUUUCGGCCACUGCGGUCAAAGAUGGCCUCUAUUUAUACGCUAUCGCUUGGGGAUGGGGCCUGCGCACCAUUAGCUAGUUGGUGAGGUAAUGGCUCACCAAGGCUACGAUGGUUAGUUGGUCUGAGGGAUGACCAGCCACACUGGGACUGAGACACGGCCCAGACUCCUACGGGAGGCAGCAGUGGGGAAUAUUGCGCAAUGGGGGAAACCCUGACGCAGCGACGCCGCGUGGGUGAUGAAGGCCUUCGGGUCGUAAAGCCC